GCCCCCAUCGUCUAGCGGCCUAGGACGCUACCCUUUCAAGGUAGAGAUCGCGGGUUCGAAUCCCGCUGGGGGUACCA
rnacentral:tRNA from 1 species